rnacentral:rRNA from 1 species
UGUUCCUACGGGAGGCAGCAGUGGGGGAUAUUGCACAAUGGGGGGAACCCUGAUGCAGCGACGCCGCGUGGGUGAAGAAGCGCCUCGGCGCGUAAAGCCCUGUCAGCAGGGAAGAAAAUGACGGUACCUGAAGAAGAAGCCCCGGCUAACUACGUGCCAGCAGCCGCGGUAAUACGUAGGGGGCAAGCGUUAUCCGGAUUUACUGGGUGUAAAGGGAGCGUAGACGGCAUGGCAAGUCUGAUGUGAAAACCCGGGGCUCAACCCCGGGACUGCAUUGGAAACUGUCAGGCUAGAGUGUCGGAGAG